AGCGGAGAAAUUCCAAUCGAACCUGGAGAUAGCUGGUUCUCUCCGAAAUAGCUUUAGGGCUAGCCUCAAGUGAUGAUUAUUGGAGGUAGAGCACUGUUUGGACGAGGGGCCCCUCUCGGGUUACCGAAUUCAGACAAACUCCGAAUGCCAAUUAAUUUAACUUGGGAGUCAGAACAUGGGUGAUAAGGUCCGUGUUCGAAAGGGAAACAGCCCAGACCACCAGCUAAGGUCCCAAAAUAUAUGUUAAGUGGAAAAGGAUGUGGCGUUGCCCAGACAACUAGGAUGUUGGCUUAGAAGCAGCCAUCAUUUAAAGAGUGCGUAAUAGCUCACUAGUCGAGUGACACUGCGCCGAAAAUGUACCGGGGCUAAACAUAUUA
rnacentral:rRNA from 1 species